rnacentral:rRNA from 1 species
CCUUGUCUCUAGUUGCUACGAAAGGGCACUCUAGAGAGACUGCCGGUGACAAACCGGAGGAAGGUGGGGAUGACGUCAAGUCCUCAUGGCCCUUAUGGGUAGGGCUUCACACGUCAUACAAUGGUGCGUACAGAGGGUUGCCAACCCGCGAGGGGGAGCUAAUCCCAAAAAACGCAUCGUAGUCCGGAUCGUAGUCUGCAACUCGACUACGUGAAUCUGGAAUCGCUAGUAAUCGCGGAUCAACAUGCCGCGGUGAAUACGUUCCCGGGUCUUGUACACACCGCCCGUCACACCAUGGGAUGGGUUUUGCCAGAAGUAGUUAGCCUAACCGCAAUGAGGCNAUUACCAGGGGUGGGUUCAUUACUGGGGUGAAUCGUAACAAGGUA